rnacentral:rRNA from 1 species
GAUGAACGCUAGCUACAGGCUUAACACAUGCAAGUCGAGGGACCGGCGCACGGGUGAGUAACACGUAUCCAACCUGCCCUUUACUCGGGGAUAGCCUUUCGAAAGAAAGAUUAAUACCCGAUAUAAAGGAUGGGGAUGCGUUCCAUUAGGUUGUUGGUGAGGUAACGGCCCACCAAGCCUUCGAUGGAUAGGGGUUCUGAGUGGAAGGUCCCCCACAUUGGAGCUGAGGCACGGUCCAAACUCCGACGGGGGGCAGCAGUGAGUAAUAGUGGGCGAUGGGCGUUAGCCUGAACCAGCCAAGUAGCGGGAAGGAUGAAGGCUUAUGGGUCGUAAACUUCUUUUAUAUAAGAAUAUGUAUUAGAUGAAUAAGGAUCGGCUAACUCCGUGCCAGCCGCCGCGGUAAUUC